UCCCCGUUACCGAGGCGGUCUCCUAAGAGUUCUGUAUCCUUGCGGAUCUUAGCAACAUAGGACGAGGGUUGCGCUCGUUGUAGGACUUAACCAUACAUCUCACGACACGAGCUGACGACAGCCAUGCAGCACCUGUUCUGGCUCCCUUGCGGGUCGUUACUGUUUCCAGCUUCUACCACCAGUAUGUCAAACCUAGGUAAGGUUUUUCGCGUUGCGUCGAAUUGAACCACAUGCUCCACUGCUUGUGCGGGUCCCCGUCAAUUCCUUUGAGUUUUAGUCUUGCGACCGUACUCCCCAGGUGGCUCACUUAAUGCGUUAGCGUCAUUGCAGAAAGGGUCGAUACUUCCCACAACUAGUGAGCAUCGUUUACGGCGUGGACUAC
rnacentral:misc_RNA from 1 species